rnacentral:lncRNA from 1 species
GCUAAAAAAGGAAGGAAUUAAAUGUUCGAUUGCAUAGCACGAACAACUCUAGGUACAAAAGCGGACUAUUCAUUAAGCGUCCUAAAAGGGUAUAUAUGGAAUUCCAAAGAAGGUGUAUCUCGAUGUCAAAGGAAUAGUAUGUCACUGAGUGAACGGUUUAUGAUCGAAGGUAAAUAAUGGAUAGUGAAAGAUAUGGAUGGUGCCCUAAGGCGAAG